AGUGAACGCUGGCGGCAGGCCUAACACAUGCAAGUCGAGCGGAUGAAGGGAGCUUGCUCCUGGAUUCAGCGGCGGACGGGUGAGUAAUGCCUAGGAAUCUGCCUGGUAGUGGGGGAUAACGUCCGGAAACGGGCGCUAAUACCGCAUACGUCCUGAGGGAGAAAGGGGGGGAUCUUCGGACCUCACGCUAUCAGAUGAGCCUAGGUCGGAUUAGCUAGUUGGUGGGGUAAAGGCCUACCAAGGCGACGAUCCGUAACUGGUCUGAGAGGAUGAUCAGUCACACUGGAACUGAGACACGGUCCAGACUCCUACGGGAGGCAGCAGUGGGGAAUAUUGGACAAUGGGCGAAAGCCUGAUCCAGCCAUGCCGCGUGUGUGAAGAAGGUCUUCGGAUUGUAAAGCACUUUAAGUGGGGAGGAAGGGCAGUAAGUUAAUACCUUGCUGUUUUGACGUUACCAACAGAAUAAGCACCGGCUAACUUCGUG
rnacentral:rRNA from 1 species